UACGUAGGGGGCAAGCGUUGUCCGGAAUUAUUGGGCGUAAAGAGCGCGUAGGCGGUCCGGUAAGUCAGCUGUGAAAGUCAAGGGCUCAACCCUUGAAAGCCGGUUGAUACUGUCGGGCUAGAGUCCGGAAGAGGCGAGUGGAAUUCCCGGUGUAGCGGUGAAAUGCGCAGAUAUCGGGAGGAACACCAAUGGCGAAGGCAGCUCGCUGGGACGGUACUGACGCUGAGGUGCGAAAGCGUGGGGAGCAAACAGG
rnacentral:rRNA from 1 species